UGUGUUUGUGCGAUUCCCAACAGCCCAUACAACACAACCGCUGGUUUAUUUGUCCUGUUUCCAGCAGGUUUUCUCCUUCGGACAUUUUUUGAGUGUGUGAGUGUGUGCGCGUGCAUGCAGUGUGUGUGUGUGUGUGUGUGUGUGUGUGUGUGUGUGUGUGUGUGUGUGUGUGUUUUCAGCACCGCCCUUCCUCUGAAAACCGUUGGAUUUUGUUUCCAUUCCUCCCUGUAGGCUUCAUCUCCAU